AUAGUCACCAAAUUCAAUUUGUUUUUAUCUUUCAGCAAAGACAAAGUACCUUAAUCUUUGACACAGUUUGCCAAUUCUUCUGCCAAGCGCGUCUCUAUUAAGCAUCUAAACAUAAUGACACGGUUGAUAGUUCAAUCCCCAUGUCGAAGUAUCCUUGGGUAAGAUGCUGAACCCCGAGUUGCCCCUGAUGCGUCCAUCAGAGUGACAGCCUAGCUGAGCCUAUUGAUUUGGACACACAGGAAGGGUGCACGGCUCUAUUAAAAACAGAGAAGGCACAAAUCCUUUUACCGAUGAAGACCACAGGGGAUCGACAGAAGGACUAAUAGCACAGUAUCUAUUAUAGAGCAAUCUCCUUGCUGUGUAAUUUGAGAGAUGAAACAAGAAAA